rnacentral:misc_RNA from 1 species
GUUUUUAUAACGAUAUUAGGACAAUUUAAAUUGUAAACAAAGUUGGUAGUUGAACAAACGUUGGGGAUCUCCACAAACAUUUUCAAAAGAAAGACCCGGACAUUUUUUUAUCUCUGACAGAUAUAAAUAAAUAUAGCGACUCAGAAAAAUCAGUACAUUAAAUACCGUUCGCCAACCGAAUAAUUAUCAUUGUCUGUCGAAGAGUUAGUUAUCAUUUUGUUUAUCGAAGAAUCAUCAUUUUGUCAACCGAAGAAUUUUAUAUCCGUCAGUCUGUCAGUCAAUUGUCAAUAUCGAAAUCGAGUGCACGAGGCGGGUACGGGUUCUCAAGGCGUAGGACCACGCCCUAGCAAACCCGAUGAAUUUGCUAUUCUCCUAUAGCCGGGUGCCUGGUCGGCGCCUUUAGCAUCCGUCACUUCCCGAUCCGGUGCGAAGAACUUCGGAAAAGUUGGUGGGCCCAUAUCUGCCAAG